GACGAAGGGGGCUAGCGUUGUUCGGAAUUACUGGGCGUAAAGCGAGUGUAGGUGGUUGUCCAAGUUGGAUGUGAAAGCCUUGAGCUCAACUCAAGAAAUGCAUUCAGGACUGGGCGGCUAGAGGACCGGAGAGGAUAGUGGAAUUCCCAGUGUAGUGGUGAAAUACGUAGAGAUUGGGAAGGACACCAGUGGCGAAGGCGGCUAUCUGGACGGUUUCUGACACUAAGACUCGAAAGCGUGGGGAGCAAACAGG
rnacentral:rRNA from 1 species